rnacentral:rRNA from 1 species
GAUGAACGCUGACAGAAUGCUUAACACAUGCAAGUCAACUGUGGCGGACGGGUGAGUAACGCGUAAAGAACUUGCCUCACAGUUAGGGACAACAUUUGGAAACGAAUGCUAAUCCCUGAUACUGUGAGAGAGCUUUGCGUCCCAUUAGCUAGUUGGAGAGGUAACAGCUCACCAAGGCGAUGAUGAGUAGCCGCACUGAGAGGGUGAUCGGCCACAAGGGGACGGAGACACGGCCCGUAGUCCAAUGGGGGGCAGGAGUGGGGAAUAGUGGACAACGGACCAAAGUCUGAUGCAGCAAUUCUGUUUGAACGAUGAAUUUUUCGGAAUGUAAAGUUCUUUCAGUUGGGAAGCGGUACCAACAGAAGAAGUGACGGCUAAAUACGUGCCAGCAGCCGCGGUAAUAC